rnacentral:lncRNA from 1 species
CUUCCUAUUCCAGUGGCUCUGGCCUGGAACGGCUCUGCUCCCAUGGAGCACUUGAAAAUGUUUGGUGACAUCUUGGUUGUCACAACUGGGACUGGUGGUUCUACUGGCAUCCAGCAGGUGGAGGAUGUGGCUAAAUGUCCCACAAUGCCCAGGAUGGCCUCAAAGCAAAGAAGCAUCCAGCUCCAAAUGCCAACAUGCUGAGGUCGCAGAACCCUGCCUUAUUCUUCGCAACCACACACGUUUUUAUGAACUUGUAGAAAAUGCAAGGGUUGAGGUGCUGGUCUCUUUGGAUAGCAGCCACACAAUACAACCUUGGACAUACUCUUCCACCUAUCCGGGACUUGGUUUCUCCACUUAAGCCACAAGGAUUUGGCCAGAUAUGGCCCUGUGAACCCUGACAGCAAGAGCUGGCUGUGGCUGUCCAAGCUGGAUGUUGGGCCUCCCACUCAGUCGUGGGUCAGAGGCCUGUGUUCCUGGCAGGUGCUCAGCAAUAACUCAUCAGAGUGAGAAGUCCCAGGGAGGCUGCCAUGAGCUUUGGCUCCCCCUGCCUUGGCGCAAUCUGUGUUUCCCACCUUAUGUCCAAGGGGUGCACUCAAAACAUUCAGGCCCAUCCUGCAGUCGGGAAGUCUGGUGACUCAGAGACAGAGCAGCUGCGGCCAGAUCCUGACCCCUGAGUCCUGUUACACUCCGUCGGACUCACACCCUCCCCUGCCGGCAGCUCUUCAGUUCGUGGAGGGAGAAGGAAGGUGAGGGCCAAAGAGGAGAAACAACCCGCCGAGAGCCACACAGCCACACCAUGGGCAGGCGUGAAACAUUAACUGAGCACCUACUGUGUGUAAGUGGCCACAGCAGGUGCUGAGUAGGUAGACAAGAUCCGUGUCUGCAGGGAUUUUAGUCCUGGUCCAGACUCCCGAUCAUAUUACCAUGGGCCGCCCUGUCUGCUUGUUUAAUCUUCACGAUAACUCAGAGACGAAGUUACGGC